UCAUAUUCCAGAAUAGUAGGCUGAUACACAGCCAAUACAGUAGGUGACAGCAUGCACCUAUAACAUUUGUUUGCGCACUGCCAUAAUACCAAAGAAGAAGAAGUAUGAGUCAUAAUACCCAUAAAACCUAGCGGUCAAACACGGAAAUGGUUCUAAUAAAUUUCCACCAUUCAUUUGAUCCAUUGUGGAUUUUAGAAACCCUGCAAAUAAGAACUGUGUUUCGUGUAGGCUUAUCAUUCAGAACUAUAAAUGAAUGUCUUAAGCGUCACAUCACUCACCAGGGCCAUGAUGAUCUGAACUAGACUGCCGUAUCGAGGCAAAGGACCUACAUAUGGGGCGUUGAGGUCCCAGCACCAGCAGUAGUUGAGGAACCUGACAAUGACAGCCCGCGCAAAGUCACCAAUCAGGAUGGUCAGCUCAGAUCGUCCCUGUUGGCAAACUCCUGGAACCUCUUCACCACAGAGAAGAUGAGCUAGCCACUUCCCUCCAGGCAGCAGAUGA